GCUUGGCUGCUGCGGCGGGGCUCAGAGACCCCGCGAGCGGCGCCGGGCGCGUGCAGAGGCGUCUCGCCCCGGCAUCGGCCCGGCCUGUGCGCGCGAACGGGAGCUGUGAGCCUGGGUGGCGGGUCUCGCGACAGGCUCCGUUCCCAUGCCGAUGAGCACAGCCGCGGGAGCCCCCGCAGUGCCGGCCCGGCGCGGCUGGGGGAAUGGGCGUGGCGCGGGCUGUCAGGCCCGCGGGGCAGCGACCCUUGACCCGUAAGCAAGCGGGUGCCCGUGUAGGGCUGUGCGUCCCUUGCCCUAGGCUUGGGAGUGGGUGCGAGCGAGCGACGUUUGCGCCUGAGCGUGUCCUUCGGCUGAAGACGGUCGACUAGGCUAUGGGUGAACAAUCCCUAGUAUGGGUCUCCGAGCAUUGCAGACAGGCUCGCGCGAGUUCUUGGUCGCGGGAGGGUAGCCCUGCCACUGCCAGAGUCUUAGAGCGACAAGGGUGGGGGGGAGGUAAUAACGUUUAUUGAACCAACUGCUGCUGUGGGAAAAGAGAAGGCUUGGAGUUUACGCAGCACUCUUCCGGUCUGGGAAACUAAUGCAAAUUACUGCAGGCGUGAGCUAGAAUAGAUGACUCAAGAGGGUUCUGUCUAGAAAAGUCGCCGACUUGGAAAAUAGUUGCUUAGAGUCCACUGUGGUCGAAGCAGGUCAGAUAACACCGUUUGGUCCAGCUUGUGUGGACGGAGUAGAGCAGAAGCGCACAGCAGAACCUCAGCAGUACCUAACGCUGAACAAAAGGUUAUGGUGAUUCUUUCAAAAGUUUAUAAUUGAACAUUGACUUAAUACAGCUGUAAGUCUUUAUUAUGCAGAAAAAAAUGCUGUUUUUAACCCUCAAACAGAAACAAGCACAGAAACUCUUUCCUUACCUUGUCAAAACUGUUUUUAAAUUUUCCUUUUUUUUUUUUUUUUGGUAGUUCAUUUAACACACAACUGUACUGUAUUUGCUUGGGGGGCUCUGCUGUUUCUUGAUUGCAUACUUCCAGUUCCAAAUGAGGUGUGUGGUUGACCAGUCAGUUCGUAACUCUGGUGUUUGUAACUCUGAGGUUCUUCUGUAGUUUGUUUGUUUGGGUUUUUAAAGGUUUUUCCAUUUAUGGCCUGGUUCCGAACUUAGUUAAAUCGGUAACUAAGAGUAACUCCAAAGACGAUAGAAAAGUUUCACUUCUGCAAGAAUGGUGUAAGAUCAGGAUCUGGCUCUUCGAGUUGUAUUUACUAAUUAUUUUGGUAGCACCUGAAGUGUGCGAGGGUGUACAAACAAAAAGAAAUCACAAUCCCUGCUCCAAGGAGCUUACCUGUUUAUAAUACAAAGGGGUCAAUCUAAACCACAAAAACAACAAGGAGUUCAGUGGCACCUUAAAGACUAACAGAUUUAUUCGGGCAUAAGCUUUUGUGGGUAAAAAGCCACCACUUCAGAUGCAUCAUGUUAAUGCACGUUAAAUGCUAUUACGGCCAAAUCAAAUUAAGACAUUGUUAAACUCAGGCCUGAUCUACACUUAAAACUUAGGUCGACAAUAGCUAAGGUGCUCACAAGCUGUGCCCCUAUGGUCCCCAUAGUGUAAACCUGGCUUCAGUUGUUUUGACUGUGCAGAUAAGCCCUAGCACAUGAAGAUUAUUAGAGUUUCACUCUACAGUGUGGUACCAGUAGGCACCAUCUGGGAUUCCAGGAUGUAGUAGCAAAACCUGAUAGCAUCUAGGAUGACCUACCAAACCACCCCUGACUCAUGCAAAAACCUAGAACUGUUGAAAAAGAUUGUAACUAGACUUCUGCUCCAUGGUAUAAUCUUGCAUCUAAUACAUUCCACUUCCUAUAUUAUAGUUUUGCAUGUUAAAGAUAGUUCUGAGAUUUAACUAUAAACUGCCAAAUUAGACAAGAAAGUACACAUCUAACUUUAAAUGACUAUUUUCAUAGAAAUAUAUAUAAUUAUUUUCACCAUAUGUCAUUUAUUAUAACGGCUCCAGGGGGGCAGAUUGUUAAUCAGAACAGACAGGAUUGUAAUUGACUUGAUAAAUUCAAUCAGCCAUUAUCUGUUAUGCUGUACUGUAAUAAGUCUUAAGUCCACCAGUUCAGAGACUAAAGGCUUGAUUUUCAGAAGUACUGAGCACCUGCAUUCUUCACUGAUUUGAAAUGGAGUUGUGCGAUUUCUGAAAAUCAAGCCAUAAAAACAUGGGUAGUGACAAGUACCUUAAUACAUUGUAUGUUCAUUAGGCCCUGAUUCUGCAACCCUUACAAUGAGUAAGUAUCUUAGGAAGAGAUCUAUGAAGGGGCUUAGGCCUUGCAAUGCUGAGCAUCACAGAGCCUAACUUUUAGGUGCCUGGAAAGUCACAGGAACAACACUGCAAUCCAUAAAGUCAAGCUACGCUCCCUAUACAACGAAUAGGGAGCGAUAGGCAGCUAAGAAUGGAAUCCACAAAAGCUCAGGUAGCCAAUGGGAGCUGCGGACAAGAGGGAUGUGGCCGAAGUCCUGCCCCUCACCAAGAUAAGUGGCUCUCUCUUCUUAGCAAUCCACAAAUGGGAACCAGCCAUCUGGAGUCAGGUGGUUUGGAUGACUAAGGCCUUUCUUGUGGGAAUGAAUUAGGUGCUUGCCUUGCUUCACCCAAAAUGGCAGUAAGAGGAACCACCACUGCCUUGCACCUUAUAACUUUUAGCCCAAUAGUUGGAGCACGCACCUGGAAUGUGGGAGACCCAGAUUCAAUUCUCCCUUCUCUGCCAGAGCAAGAGAAAGAAUUUGAACAGGAGCCCCCCACCACUUGAGAGUGCCCUAACCUCUGGGCUAUGGGAUAUUCUGAUGUAGGGCUCCCUCAGUCUCUCCUGUUCUACUGUGGUUAAAUGAUGUGGUGGUGAUUGGAACAGGGGGCCUGGACCCUGGGUCUCCCAUCCCAGAUAUGGGUGCUCUAACCACCAGACAGCAGUGUCAUUGACAUUCAGUACCAUUAGAUGGAAUCCUAUAGAUGAGAGUGAACGGGUUGUAAAAGGAGGUGAAAGGCUUGCACAUUUCAGCAAGUGUGGGGUUGGCAGAGUAAAGGUAUGUGUGUUAAUGGGGCAUAGUGGGGCACUGCUGAAAGAGUGCAGUUAAGUUUGCAUGGACAACCUUAACUCUGCACGCCCUGGUUUUCUGAAGUUUGAGUUUUGCUCAACUCAGCAUUCUGGAAGGGGAUGACCUACAACCAAGCAACCCUAGCUCUGUGUUAAUGUAGUUUUUUUGCUAUUGAAUUUCCUAGUACUUUUAACAGGAAAAGAUGUGAUGUGAGUAGUCAUUUAGGCAGCUGUAUACACUAUGUCCUACACUUAACAUCUCGAACCAGACACAGCAAUCUCCGUGUCGUGGCAUACUCCUUGCUCUCCCACAACUUCUGCAACUUCACAAUCUAGGAAUUGCCCAGAAGCCUACACGUUGGCAACCCUGGCAGUGCACAUUUCUUUUCCCUCAGCAGUCAGGUUUGGAAAUGACAGUGCCAGUACCUUAUGUGCUACCUGUCUUUGGAAACACCUGUCUUAUGUUUUCCAGUGUUGCAUUUAUCAGCACUGAAUGUCACCCCAUGGAGAUGAAUGCAGUGAGAAAUAAUUGCUCUGAGAUAUGUUCCAUCCCCCUCCUGAGUGCUUUAGAGCCUGUGGUAUCCAUAAAGUAUACCAUUAUCAGCUCCCCACCCAAAGGGACAGGACUUCCCCAGAUCCUGGCUCACGUGGGGGGAAAGAAGGGAGUCUCAGACCCCUCCCAAAAGGGCAAGCUUGGCUCACAUGAGUAGGAGAAGGUCCAAUGUUUGCAGAUGGCCAUGGCUUCCCCGAUCAUGGGGUAGUGAGAUGAGCUCGGACACCCCCAGAGGAGUAAGGCCCCCUCAUAGCCUAGCUCAUAUCAGAGGGGGAGGGAGGGUGGUUCAAACCCCCUCCCAAAAGGAGCUAUAGUGCCCAAGCUCUAGGCAUACACAUACAAGAGGGAAGAAUGUGGGGUUAACAUGCCCCUCCCUAGUUCCCUUCUACUCACCCCCAGUCUCCCUACCCCCCAAACCUCCCUCACCUGAGCCCUCAAGCUGCCUGACAUCCCGUACUGCCCAUCCCUAUUUACCCCUCCCAUAUACCCCUCCACUCACUGAAGCCCCAAACCCUCUCCCUCUACUCUUCAGGCUCUAAUGGGUCUCCCUUCCCAGGAAGGAUUCACAUAUCUACUUGCCCCACAAAGACUUUGGAGGGUGCAGGAGGGUCGGGAUACACUGGCAGAGUUGUGGGGUGCAGGGGGGUCGGGAUACUCUGGCAUUUUUCUGUAAUGGUGCAUGUACAGUGUAAAAAUGUACAUUUUCUUAAAUACUGUUCUCAGUUUGGGUCCCCCAAAGAUUUAGCAGGUGCCAUGCACUACCUUGGGUGAAACUUGAUAGACUGAGACCAUUUUGACUCCCAUGACGUCAAUAGUUUAAUCUCUGUCUCUGUGCAAAAAACUCCAAACAAACAAACAAAAACCAACCAACCAACCAAAAAAAAAAACCCACCUGGAAACUUUUUUAAAAAAGGACUCUCUUCAGGGCUCAUAUGUCCAGAACCCUUCAAAGGACUCC